GACGAACGCUGGCGGCGUGCUUAACACAUGCAAGUCGAACGGAAAGGCCCUGCUUUUGUGGGGUGCUCGAGUGGCGAACGGGUGAGUAACACGUGAGUAACCUGCCCUUGACUUUGGGAUAACUUCAGGAAACUGGGGCUAAUACCGGAUAGGAGCUCCUGCUGCAUGGUGGGGGUUGGAAAGUUUCGGCGGUUGGGGAUGGACUCGCGGCUUAUCAGCUUGUUGGUGGGGUAGUGGCUUACCAAGGCUUUGACGGGUAGCCGGCCUGAGAGGGUGACCGGCCACAUUGGGAUUGGGAUACGGCCCAGACUCCUACGGGAGGCAGCAGUGGGGAAUAUUGCACAAUGGGCGGAAGCCUGAUGCAGCAACGCCGCGUGCGGGAUGACGGCCUUCGGGUGUUAAACCGCUUUCGCCUGUGACGAAGCGUGAGUGACGGUAAUGGGUAAAGAAGCACCGGCUAACUACGUG
rnacentral:rRNA from 1 species